rnacentral:rRNA from 1 species
CGACCCCAGUCAGGUGGGGCUACCUGCUGAGUUUAAUCAUAUAAAUAAGCGGAGGAGAAGAAACUUACAAGGAUUCCCUUAGUAACGGCGAAGCGAACCGGGAUCAGCCCGGCUUUUGAAAUCGGGCGGACGUCGUCCGAAUUAUGUAGUCUGGAGAAACGUCCUCGCCGACGGACCGAGCCCAAGUCCCCGGAAAGGGGCGCGGGGAGGGUGAGAGCCCAGUCCGGGCUCGGACCCUGUCGCACCAAGAGGCGCUGUCGACGAAGUCGGGUUGUUUGGGAAUGCAGCCCCAACCGGGCGGUAAAUUCGUCAAAGGCUAAAUAUGGGCGAGACCGAUACGAACAAGUACCGCGAGGAAAGAUGAAAAGGACUUUGAAAAAGAGAGUCAAAGAGUGCUUGAAAUUGCCGGAGGGAAGCGGAUGGGGGCGGCGAUGCACCUCGGUCGGAUCUGGAACAGGGUUAGCCGAUCCGCCACUAGGCUCGGGGUCUUGCGGAUCGAUCUGGGCUGCAUCGACGGCCGGGCCGGGACGGAUCGUUAAGUUUCGAGGGAUACCGUCGAUGAGCGCGGUCGAGGACAUGACGCCAUCCAUCGGUGUGCCCAGCGGGUACACGUCGCGACCUAGGCAUCGCCAUGGGCUCCCCAUCCGACCCAUCUUGAAACACGGACCAAGGAGUCCGACAUGCAUGCAGUCGGCGUGUGCUGAAACCCGGAAGGCACAAAGGAAGCUAACGGGCGGAACCCUCUCGAGGGUUGCACCGCCGGCCGACCUCGAUCUUCUGUGAAGGUUCGAGUUGGAGCAUGCAUGUCGGGACCGAAAGAUGGUGAACUAUGCCCCGCGAGGCGGCCAGGGAAACUCGGUGGAGGCCCGGCGAUCUUGACGCGGCAAAUCGUUCGUCGACUUGGGUAUAGGGCGAAAGACUAAUCAAACCAUCUAGUAGCUAGUUCCCUCCGAAGUUUCCCUCGGGAUAGCUGGAGCCCACGUCGCGAGUUCUAUCGGGUAAAGCCAAUGAUUAGAGGCAUCGGGGCGCAACGCCCCUCGACCUAUUCUCAAACUUUAAAUAGGUAGGACGGUCGCGCGGCCGCUUCGUUGAGCAGCGUCGUGGAAUCGAGAGCUCCAAGUGGGCCAUUUUGGUAAAAAAAACCGGCGAUCGCGGGAAGAACCGGAAGCCAGGUUAUGGUGCCCAACUGCUGCUAACCCGACACCACAAAGGGUGUUGGUUGAUUAAGACAACAGGGGAUCCGGUCAUGGAAGUCGAAAUCCGCUAAGGAGUGUGUAACAACUCACCUGCCGAAUCAACUAGCCCCGAAAAUGGAUGAUGAAGCGCGAAGCGCCCCCCACCCUCGCCAUCGGGGAGGCGCCAAGCCCCGAUGAGAAGGAGGGUGGGCGGUCGCGCCGCAAACCAGGGCGCGAGCCCGGCGGGAGCGGCCGUCGGUGUAGAUCUUGGUGGUAGUAGCAAAUAUUCAAAUGAGAACUUUGAAGGCCGAAGGGAAAAGGUUCCAUGUGAACGGCACUUGCACAUGGGUUAGCCGAUCCUAAGGGACGGGAAAGCCCGUCCGAGAGCGUGUUCUCCCGAGUCUCCGAAAGGGAAUCGGGUUAAAAUUCCCGAAAGCCGGACGCCGACCGCAAUGUUAGGAAGUCCGUGACACCCGGGGGGCUCCGGGAAGAGUUAUCUUUUCUGCUUAACAGCCCGCCCACCUAGAAACGGCUCAACCGGAGGUAGGGUCCAGCGGUCGGAAGAGCGCCGCCGCGUCAGCAGAUCAUCCGGUGCGCCUCGGCGCCCUUGAAAAUCCGGAGGACCGAGAGUGCGCCAGCCGGUCAUUACUCAUAACCGCAUCAGGUCUCCAAGGUGAACAGCCUCUGGCCCAUGGAACAAUGUAGGCAAGGGAAGUCGGCAAAACGAAUCCGUAACUUCGGGAAAAGGAUUGGCUCUGAGGGCUAGGGUGACGGUAGGCCCAGAUCUAGGGCGACGGUACUGUAGCGACAACCAUAUCUCCCUAAGGCGAUCUAACUCCUGCAGCGUCUGCUUUCUCCCACGAGCGAAGGGCGACGACACUGUAGAGGUGAUCAGAUCUCCCAAGGACGAUAGUACUGUAGCGGCGGCGACGACACUGUAGCAGCGACCAGAUCUCCGUAGCGUCGGCUUCUCCCCAAGGGCGACGAUACUGUAGCAGCAACCAUAAAUCCCUAGGGUGACGGUACCAUAGCGGCGAUCUAAUAUACUGCAGCGGUGGCGAUCUAAUAUUUCUCAAGUUUAGCCCCCCUUCAUCUUUCGGUUUGCAAAUGCUAUCCCAAUUUACCAUAUGCAUUGCCUUAUCAUUUGUGCCAUUCCAGAAGAAGUUCAUUAAUAACCGUUCAAUAUCUUGGAGAAGUCCAGCAGGUAGAAGAAAUGCAUUACACCAAUAUAUAGAGUAGGAGUGCAAUACCGAACGGAUGAGUUCGAGUCGUCCUACUUUUGAUAGAAACCUAUUUUUCCAAUAAGAAAUUCUAUUCUUUAUUUUUUGCAAGAUAGGCUGACAGUGGGUUUUGUGAAUGCCUGUGGAUAUGAGCGGGAGACCCAAAUAAGGAACUGGCAAGCUUCCCUCACUAACCCCCAAAGUUUGUGCAAUAAAGACAUUAUCCUCAACGUAAGGGCUCAUAUAUACUUUACUUUUCGCAUGAUUUAACUGAUGUCCAGAAACCAUACCAAAGUCAUUCAUAAUAGUAGCCAGGUUCUUUACUGAAGUUAGUUCAUUUUGGAGAAAGAUAAGUAAGUCAUCUGCAAAUGUUAUAUGUGAUUUUUUUUUUGGUAAGUAAAAGUAAAUUGAUUAUGUGUAAAGUUUCUACAAAUAGCUUUAUCUAUACAAGUCAUAGACAAAGCCAUGUAACUCAUAGAGUGCGAAUGCGAUAGUUAUGACUACACAUGUUGUAGACUAUAACUCCUAAUUAUAAUCAAAAUAGAAAAUGUUUAUCCACAUAUAUCAAAAUUUGGCUUCAUUCCCAAGAUCUUUAGCUAAUAGCAAAAUUAAAAUUGAUAAAAAUAUAUUUUUCUCUUUGGGUAAAGUGCUCCGUUUUGAGAUCUUGCUCCAUACAGGAUCUUG